ACUUACAUUUCUUUACAACUGCUUAAUGCAGUACUGAUGUAUCUAGUAGUUUAGUGGGUUUAACUAAUGUCACAUCUGUUUUUAUUCAUUUUAGAUGCAGAAACUUUUGACAUAUGAAUUCAUCUUGACUAAGGAACUCUUCACAGCACUGCAUCUGAACAGUCACAACCUCACAGAGCUGCACAACUGCCCAUCUCAGAUCAGUGUUGAAGCUGGAACCUCAUCUUGUGUACAGCAAAGGCAGAGCUGAAAAUUCACUGUUUGUCUUGUAUUGUGUGUGGCAAAACCUGGAAUAACACAUGGGAGCCCUCCAGGAAUUGCUGACACUUUACGCCCAAGUCUCCUCAUGCUAACCGGAUUGCAAUAUGACAGUCUAGUCAGCAUAAACACCUGGACUCACCAAGCACACUUUGGUUCUCCAUGUUUUGUACAAAUUGUUUUUGCUAUUCUUCAGUAAAUACUUGAAUAUGUUUUGAACUUAUUCUACUUUUGAUGUUUAAGUUCAGAAAGUUGUUAUUAUAAACAUAAUUUGCAUUUGUCAUGAACUUGACUUCUUGUUGUUGUUAAAGCUGUUUAUUAUAAUGGCAUUUCCAAAGGCAUCGUUUAAAAGAUUUUUUGCAGUGCAGUUUUACUUGAGCUUGACAUACCAGAUGUAUGACAUGAAUAAAUAUCACAAAACAAAUAUAAUAAUGAUAAUACAAAAUAUAAAUUUCCUUCAAUUAUAAUUGUUUUUAAUCAUUUAUAUAUGUAUGGUAAUAUAUUAUUGCAUUAAAAACUGUUAUAAAUAUAUAUACAUUUUUGGUUUUUGCAUGUUUGCGUGAUUUUUUUUUUUUUUUGUGGCAUUAUAAAUAAAUUAUAAAUGUUUCAUUAAAAA
rnacentral:lncRNA from 1 species